ACUCCUACGGGAGGCAGCAGUGAGGAAUAUUGGUCAAUGGGUGCAAGCCUGAACCAGCCAUCCCGCGUGAAGGAUUAAGGUCCUAUGGAUUGUAAACUUCUUUUGUAUAGGGAUAAACCUACCCUCGUGAGGGUAGCUGAAGGUACUAUACGAAUAAGCACCGGCUAACUCCGUGCCAGCAGCCGCGGUAAUACGGAGGGUGCAAGCGUUAUCCGGAUUUAUUGGGUUUAAAGGGUCCGUAGGCGGACUUAUAAGUCAGUGGUGAAAUCCUGUCGCUUAACGAUAGAACUGCCAUUGAUACUGUAAGUCUUGAGUAUAUUUGAGGUAGCUGGAAUAAGUAGUGUAGCGGUGAAAUGCAUAGAUAUUACUUAGAACACCAAUUGCGAAGGCAGGUUUACCAAGAUAUAACUGACGCUGAGGGACGAAAGCGUGGGUAGCGAACAGGAUUAGAUACCCUGGUAGGAUAGCG
rnacentral:rRNA from 1 species